GGGAUUGCCCCAGUAACGGCGAGUGAAGCGGCAACAGCUCAAAUUUGAAAUCUGGCCUUCUGGUCCGAGUUGUAAUUUGCAGAGGAUGCUUUUGGCGAGGUGCCUUCCGAGUUCCCUGGAACGGGACGCCAUAGAGGGUGAGAGCCCCGUCUGGUCGGACACCGAGCCUCUGUAAAGCUCCUUCGACGAGUCGAGUAGUUUGGGAAUGCUGCUCAAAAUGGGAGGUAUAUGUCUUCUAAAGCUAAAUAUUGGCCAGAGACCGAUAGCGCACAAGUAGAGUGAUCGAAAGAUGAAAAGCACUUUGAAAAGAGGGUUAAAAAGUACGUGAAAUUGUUGAAAGGGAAGCGCCUAUGACCAGACUUGGGCCCGGUGAAUCACCCAGCGUUCUCGCUGGGGCACUUUGCCGGGCACAGGCCAGCAUCAGUUUGGCGCGGGGGAGAAAGGCUUCGGGAAUGUGGCUCCCUCGGGAGUGUUAUAGCCCGCUGCGUAAUGCCCUGCGCCGGACUGAGGUACGCGCAUUGCAAGGAUGCUGGCGUAAUGGUCAUCAGCGACCCGUCUUGAAACACGGACCAAGGAGUCGUCUUCGUAUGCGAGUGUUCGGGUGUCAAACCCCUACGCGUAAUGAAAGUGAACGCAGGUGAGAGCUUCGGCGCAUCAUCGACCGAUCCUGAUGUUCUCGGAUGGAUUUGAGUAAGAGCAUACGGGGCCGGACCCGAAAGAAGGUGAACUAUGCCUGUAUAGGGUGAAGCCAGAGGAAACUCUGGUGGAGGCUCGCAGCGGUUCUGACGUGCGAAUCGAUCGUCAAAUAUGGGCAUGGGG
rnacentral:rRNA from 1 species